rnacentral:lncRNA from 1 species
GGACGAGGGCAUAGCAUACAGAAGAAACACUUCACAGUAAAUCCAGGGGAUAUGUUCACAAUCAAAAUAUGGUUUUUCAAUUCAGGACUGCCAUAACAGCAAUAGCGAUUAUGUUGACAUCUGAUUUAUCCACAGACCUUGUUAUGCUUCAUCAAUCAAAAUAUGAAAAACUUCUACCUAACGUCCUUGGUUUCUGUUGGGAUUUUUCUUUGCAGGAACUCCAAUAAAAAACCAGAAUUUUCAGCUGUCGCCAAACAUGCCCCCAAUCAACACAGCGAACCUCCCCUGGGCCUGCAUGGGUGACUCAACCGCACAAAGACUUGUAUCCAAGUAUCUGCUAAGAAACAGCAUAUCCAUCACUGUCGCAGAUUGGCUCAUUUGCAACUCCACCUAUGACCUUGAGCCUGAAGCAUUUACCUUAGCUCAGACUCUGCUACCAGUAGGCCCACUUUUGGCAAGCAACCGGCAGGCAAACACCGCAGGACACUUCUGGCCAGAGGACUCGACUUGCCUUGAAUGGCUUGAUCAACAGCCGGCCUGCUCAGUCAUCUAUGUCGCAUUUGGAAGCUUCACAGUUUUUGACAAAGCCCAGUUCCGAAAUUGGCUUUAGGACUUGAGCUCUGCAACAGGCCAUUCCUAUGGGUCGUGAGGCCAGAUAUCACCACUGGGGCAAAUGAUGCCUACCCCGAGGGGUUUCAAGAGAGGGUCUCCACUCGUGGGCUGGGCACCGCAGCAGAAGGUUCUGAGCCAUCCUUCUGUUGCUUGCUUCUUAAGCCACUGUGGCUGGAACUCUGUCCUUGAAGGAGUAAGCAAUGGGGUCCCCUUCCUCUGCUGGCCUUACUUUGCUGACCAGAUAUUUAACCAGGGAUACAUCUGUGAUGUUUGGAGGGUGGGACUGGGGCUUAGCCCAGAUGAAAGAGGUGUCAUACUAGGGGAAGAAAUUAAGAAUAAGGUGGAUGAGCUGCUCAUUGAUGAAAAAUUCAAAGCCAGGGCUAUGGAGCUCAAGGAAAUGACAGCCCUUAAUGUUAAAGAAGGUGGCAAGUCUUACAGCAACUUGAUGAAUUUCAUUGAAUGGAUCAAGUCAUAGACAAAUAAUUCAAGAUUUUCUCAAGAUUGAUGUUGUUUGGUUAAAAGCUUUUGAUUGUCAUAAAAUCCAAACAGUAUAUCCAUGCACUUUGUGAGUCCAACUUCACCACCCUGUUUGUCUGUCAUCACUCAUCAUCAUUAUCCAUCAUAUUUUCCUUUUAAGACGUACCAUCUUAUGAAUAGAUUCAAAUCUGUGCUUGGUGAUGGAUCUCAAAGCUUUUCAAUUGAGAAGACAAACUCCAUGCUUCAUUUUCUUCAUUAGUCUGACAAUCAAGGAGAGUUUAGUUUGUUCACCAAAAAGCUGGAAGUAGUCUACUUCCACAUCAAUUUCAUCCAUUAAAAAAUCCUUGAAAUAAUUUUGACAUGGAUUUAUUAUAACAACAUACAAUCAUAACUUAUUUGAGCCAACAUCUUUCAAAAUGUGAUUUUCUGCCUGCAACAACGCUAAGGUAGUGUUUGUUUUUUUUACUUUUUGUUGAAAGCAAUUUGUUUUUAGAAUUUAGGUUGUUUGUUUUUUUAUUUUUUUAUGACUUAUUAUAAAUUUUUUACUAAAUAGAAAAAUUCAAAAUAAUUAACUUUUUCUAAAUAAAAAAAAUAAUAUAUUGGUUUUUAUUUACUUUUUAAUACUUAAUAUAAAUAAAAUACUAUAAAAAUCAAAAACCUAAUAUUUAACACUAUUAAUUAAGUAUUGAGGUUCUAUUUAGAAUUAAGUAAAAAAACAAAUACCACCUAAGACAUGUGACCUCAUUUUACACAACAAGAGGUCACAUGACUUACAUCUCACUGUAACUUUGUAAACCUUUGGAACCACUUUCUCCAAAUCCAUAAAAAGGCAUAUAUAAUUUAAUUUUAAACUAAUAAAUAAAUAAGCCUACCAAUUUCCAAACCAGUAGACCAUCACGUGAUUAGUGUCUGUCUUGGUGACUUAACCACAGAAAAAGAAUCAUUUGAUUUUAUGCUAUGAAACAACAAAGCCAUUUGCAGUUCAAGUAAAGACCUUGAGCCUGCAGCUUUUACCUCAGAUCAGAAGACAGUACCUAUUGGCUCACUUUUGGCAAGUAACGAGCUCAGAAACUCGGCAGGGUACUUGUGUAAAAUGGCUUGAUAAACAGUCAGUCUACUCAAUCAUAUAUAUUGCAUUUGGAAGCUUCAAUGGUCUUGAUAAACAAGCUUGUAUACCUUUUUCUCUUGUUCAGGAGCAAUAAACCAUUUAGGUUGUUCCAUAUAUAUAUCUUAUAAUUCCCCAUUUAAAAAUGUUGUCUUAACAUCCAUUUGAUAAAUUUCAAGAUUAUGCAAUGCAUAAUCAACUAUUAACUAGAUGGACUUUUGGGAUUGAUUGAGGCUACAGUUUGACUCUAUAUCCUUAAAACAAAUUUCAUCUUGUUCAGGUGCUUACGGUAAAGUUGAUUGUCUCCCAAGACACAACAAUCACUUUCUUGUGAUAGUAGCACUCCAAAUUACAAGAAAUAAAAAAUCACUUGGCUAUUUGUAUUCUUUUGAAUACCAAAAAAAAAAAUGAGUAGAAAAAAUAAAGGACUAAACUGGAAGCUAAGAAGGAUAUAGAAGUUUAAGAGACUAAAAGGAGAAAAAGUAAAGAGAAUGGAUGAAGGAAAGAGUGAAUCAGAAAAGACAAAAGAAAGGGUGAGGAACGCUUACUUAUAGAUUUUGUUGCUGGUUAUUCAAAGAAAUGUGUGUAGACCCCCAUAUGGGGCUCCUUUUUUUCAUUUUCUACAGGUCAUACUUCUUGCUAGGUGGAGGACUAUUCCAACAGCCACAUGUCACUUCGUGGAUGGCUGCCAGAGAAUCAACCUUGCUUUUUGAAGAUGCAAUGGGAAUUUGACACCUGUCAAGGAGAAUCAGAGGGGAGCGCAUUUUCGCCAUCGAGUGGAAGCGCAUGGGCUGAAAUGCGGGAUCCACAAAAUGGCGACUCCGCUAGGGAUCAUUAGAGGGUCAAGCUUGAACAUAAGAUGAAGCAAAUGUGGUGUUUGAUUGGUCGAGCAAUGGAUACCUAUCUUUUGAUUGCACAUUGAGAGUUCUUGAUAUCAUUGGAUGCAUGCUUGGUUAUUGUAUUCAUUUGGGGCAUGGACAUGCUGAUUAUGAUGAUUGAUUAUCUUGAUUAAAAUCUGGGGUAGGUUUGGGUAUUGCGCCCACCCCGAUUAUAUAUCAAAUUAAUUUUUAAAAUUAAUUUAAUUUAAUUUUUAUUUUUCUAUUUUAAUAUAUAGAUAAUAAUAAAAUACUUUUAAUAAAAUAAUUUAUAAAAAAAUAUAAUAAUUUAAUUAUUUCUAAAAUAUAUUUAUUUUAAUAUAAUUAAAAACUUUAAAAGUAAUUUAAAAAAACUAAAAUUAAAAAAAAAACAAAACAAAAAGUUAAACGUGACAGGGCGAGUAGGUAUGGGAAUUUAUCAUACUCGUUCUGCCCUAUUUAAUUUUUUAAAUGGGACGAGGAUGAGAAUUACUUUAAAUAAACGGGACCGGGUUGGGAUGGGGGCGACCCAUCCCGAACGUCUCGUUGUCAUCCCUAUACAUAACCCAAAUCCAAAUUUACUUUUUUGUAAUAUUUAUAACUCCAAAUACUGAUUAUGAUGAUUGAUUAUCUUGAUUGAAAUCUGGGGUAGGUUUGGGUAUUGCGCCCACCCCGAUUAUAUAUCAAAUUAAUUUUUAAAAUUAAUUUAAUUUAAUUUUUAUUUUUCUAUUUUAAUAUAUAGAUAAUAAUAAAAUACUUUUAAUAAAAUAAUUUAUAAAAAAAUAUAAUAAUUUAAUUAUUUAUAAAAUAUAUUUAUUUUAAUAUAAUUAAAAACUUUAAAAGUAAUUUAAAAAAACUAAAAUUAAAAAAAAAACAAAACAAAAAGUUAAACGUGACAGGGCGAGUAGGUAUGGGAAUUUAUCAUACUCGUUCUGCCCUAUUUAAUUUUUUAAAUGGGACGAGGAUGAGAAUAGGGGUCUCCAAAAAGCCCGCGGCCCGCUUUAGGCCCGGCCCGGCCCGAGCCCGUUUAUGGGCGGGCUGGGCCGCGGGCCUAAAUUUAGGCCCGUAGGCCCGCCCUUAGGCCCGCCUUUAAUUUUUAAAAAAAAAAUAAUAUACUAUAUUUUUAUAUAUAUAUAACUAACUCAUUUAAUAAGCACAAAAGAAAUGUAGCUCAGUUGGUUAGAGCCUUGAAAUUUAAGCUUGAGGGGAGGGGUUCGAAUCCCACCCUCUUCUUUCCUUUAUUUAAAAGCCAUUUUGGCUUAUUUAAAAAAGCCCGUCGGCCCGGCCCGCUGGCCCGGCCCGCCCCUCAGCCCGCGGGCUCAUAGGCCGGGCCGCGGGCCUAGCAUUUGAGCUCGGCCCGGCCUGUUGACCAGUCAACGGGCCCAUAGGCCCGGCCCGAGCUGGGCCGCGGGCCUCCUAUUUACGGCCCGGCCCGGCCCGCCCGUUGGAGACCCUUAGAUGAGAAUUACUUUAAAUAAACGGGACCGGGUUGGGAUGGGGGCGACCCAUCCCGAACGUCUCGUUGUCAUCCCUAUACAUAACCCAAAUCCAAAUUUACUUUUUUGUAAUAUUUAUAACUCCAAAUACUUAAUUUUGAAACAACUUGACAAAAAAAAGAAAAAAAAGUAAAUUUUAAUGAUAUUAUAUCUAACUUCAAUUUCCAACCACAUAUACACUCCCGUAUAAAAAACAACCAUGAUAAUAUCAAAAUGUGGAUAAUGACAAUCCAUUGGUUAGUGAAUCCACAAGGAUAAGGAAAGUGGACCCAAUGAUAGCAAGAAGUCAAAAAAGUUCUACAGAAGGGAUCAGAGUCUGAGCAGCACAAGAGAGAGAGUAAAAAUGGGGAGUUUACAUGUUUUAGCUAUACCUUACGCAGCACAAGGCCAUGUAAUUCCCCUCAUGGAGCUCUCACAAAACUUGGUCAUGCAUGGCUUCAAAGUCACAUUUGUAAACACAGACUUCUCUCAAGAGCGGAUUGUGAAAUCUUUCGCAGGAAAGGAUGAUGUAAGGGAUCAGAUCCGUCUGGUUUCAAUCCCCGAUGGGUUAGAAGCCUGGGAGGAUAGGAAUGACUUGGGGAAGGCAUGUGAAGGAAUUCUUCGGGUCAUGCCUAAGAAGCUGGAAGAGCUCAUACAGGAAAUCAAUCGUACGGACGACCAUGAGAUCGCUUGUGUCAUUGCAGAUGGGCAUAUGGGUUGGGCUCUGGAAGUGGCAGAGAAAUUGGGAAUCAAGAGAGCGGCUUUCUGGCCAUCAGCAGCUGCAAUGAUGGUCUUGACGUUUCGCAUGCAAAACCUGAUCGAUGAUGGGAUAGUAGAUGAUGAUGGUAAGCCUCCCCGUCACCACUUUUGAUUGUGUUCCAACAGCAUUUAACACAUUAGAAAAUCAUACAUACUUUUGCUUACUGAUCAACUAAUUUGCCUGCAACCAAAAAAUAUAAGGUAGUGAUUUACAAUUGUAACUUUUUUGGAAAACAAUUUUUUGUUAUUCAAAAAGAAAUACGAAAACACGAGUAAUAACCAAAAAAUAUAAAAUAUUUUUUUAUCCUAGAAUUUUUUUUAUAAUAUCUUUUAGUUGUCUUCACUUUUUUUUUUCCAUGCGUUGUUUUUAGUUAUUAUCAAUUAAUCUAUCCAAUUGAUCACCUCCAUAGUAGUAACUGCAAGAGUUGUACUCAGCCUCAUUUAUAUGACCGAACACUAACCAAUUUAAUGAUUCCACUUGUAGCACCACAUAACACAUGUUUCUUGUCCUCGUAGUUUGUUGAUUUUCCUGCAACAAUUCCUGGUGAAGAAAUUAGAGAAAAACAAAAAAAAAAACACAGAUUUAACGUGAUUCAACGGAUUGCCUACAUCCACAGGAAUAGGGAAGAAGACUUUCACUAUAUGUCAAAUUAGAGUUACAAUAAAAGGGUAUUUAUACUAACACUUAGGUAAUGAAAUUCCAAAAAUACCCCUGAAUCGUAUAGCAGGGGGCGUUGCCCCCCCAACCUCUCAUUCACCCUUAACAAUAAAAAUACAAGUUCGAAUGGCAAAUAUUAUCGUUCCACUCCGACAUUUGCUCAUUUUUCUCCAUAUAUGUCUUUCCCUCAAUAUGAGCCACAUACUACAACAUAGUUGAAGUCCAUGUAGAAUUGUUUGAAACCUCACACAAUAGGAACAAGUGUGGUGAGCCAUUGGAUGUCCAAAACCAUGACACAUCCUCCAAGAGAAAGGAGAUGGGAAUCUGUAGCAAAAAUCUCACAUUCUUAAACACCUAACCAUGAAGAUCAAUGCCAUUAAAUUUUGGGAAAUCAAUUUUAUCGUACCAUACUUGGAAAUUACCAUGGCUAGAACCUAAGUGAUUAGCGUUGAUGAAGGAGCUCUCAGAAGGACUUUGAUUAUGAGAGCUCAUACUUCGUUCAUGGUUGCCAUCCAUUCUCGUAACUCUUUUGAGAGUUUUAGUUUGUUGUUUAAGAGCUUCAGAAUGCAUAUCAAAACUCUCAUGUAAUUGUCUAAUUGUUUUCUUCAACUAUUUGGAUUCUUACCCUCUGUUACGCCGUAGUGAAGGAUCCCUAGGAUCUCUUGUCAUCUUUACUUUCUUUAAUUUAAUUUCCUAGUAUCUUAAUUUAGUUUCCUUAUACUCUAUCCUACAAGUAGCCUAUACUAAAUAAGGAGAUUGUAAUGGCGAAAAUCAUACAAAAAUUCUCUAUAAGAAGACCUAGAAUUUGUUAUCUCAAAUUACAUCUUCUCCUUGCUCAUAAAUAUUGGUAUCAAAUGAUAGUCUUGGCAUAAAUCAUGGUGGAAGGGAUUAGAGCGCAAGAACAAUGCUAACUUGAAUAUAUUGUUAAAAAAUUGAAAGAUUUAUUAGAUAAACAAGUAGCGCCCUUAUCAGAACUAUUGAAGAUGGUCGCAACUAUGAACUUGAAAUUUGAAUACAUGAUUUCUAGAAUACAGGAGUUAGGUAAUGGAGACAAUGCCUCAAUUAAUAGAUGCAGGACAAACAAUAAAUUAUGAGGUACAAAUUCCUUUCAAACCAAGUUUUCCAAACUUAGUUUUUCAAAUUUUGAAGAUGGGAAUCCUAGUGGGUGGAUUUACAAAUGUGAUAGAUUUUUUUAAAAUCAAUGGAAUUAGGAAACAUGAGAAGGUAGGAUUAGCUACAUUACACAUAGAAGGAAGGACCUUAGCAUGGUUUUAAGAGUACAAGGCUAGUAACAAAGAAAUUAAAUGGGAACAAUUUUCUGUAGAUGUUUCUAGUUUUGGCCUAGUGCUUGUGAUAGUCCGAUUAGGCAAAUAACUAAAAUAGGUUUCUAUAGUUAGGGCAUACCAGGAGUAGUUUGAAAUGUUGAUGGUCAAAACUAAUGGAUUGUCAAAGGAGAUUUUGUCUAAUGCUUCAUUAGCAACUUAAAAAGAGGUUAUUAAAAAAUCAAAUCACCAUGUUUCGAUUAAACACACUAGCCCAAGCCAUCAAGUUAGCCCUACUACAAGAAGGAGUAAUAGAGGCAAUUCUCAAUGAAGUCAAUGGCUCUAAUAGAAGUGAAGGGAUUACAAUAAAAUCUAUGGGAAUUAGAAUGAAUCAAAAUAUAUAGUCAACUACCACCCAUUAAGAGGAUUUCAACCAUAGAGAUGUAAGAGAGACGUGAAAAAAAACUUUCUUAUUAUUGUGAUAAGAAGUAUGAGUUUGGCUAUAGAUGUAAAAGAAAGCAAAUUUUUCUAUUAAAUGAUGAUGAAAGUGAAGGCGAAGCUACAUGUGAAGCUAAAAAUGAUAUUAAAGAGGAAGAUCUUAUGGUUUCAAUCAAUGCAAUAUCUAGUUCGACCUCUCAUCAGACCACGAAGAUCUAUGGCAACAUUAAGAAAAAGUCAUCACCAUACUAGUUAACUUAAAAUUAAUAGAAGAAAGAUAAAACGAUACAACAACUCAUUCAAGAAAUACAGGCGGAUCUAACCUUACACUCCAAAUUUUACUUAGGAAAAUAACCAAUUGAGUUAUAAUGGGGAGAUUUUGGUUAGGGAAUCAAUUUGAUCUCAAAAUGCAGGUACUACAAUAAGCUCAUAGUGUGGCAGUUGGAGGGCAUUUUGGAGUUAAAAAUACCUUAGAAAGGAUAAGAAGGGUUUUUUAUUGGCAAAAGAUGAAAUGAGAAACUUAUAAGUUUGUAGCUAAGUGUGAUAUAUGCAAGAGGAAUAAGGUUGGAAAUAUAGUUUAUAUGGGACUAUUGCAACCACUACCAAUACCAAAACAAAUCUAGUCUAAUGUCACUGUGGAUUUUGUGGAGGGGCUUCUAAAUCACAUGGUAGGUAGGUCAUUAGGGUGAUUGUUGAUAGGUUAAGCAAGCAUGCUCAUUUCCUAGCAAUGACACAUCACUAUACAACUAAAGAUGUAUCAUAGUUAUUCAUGGAUGACAUCUACAAGUUACAUGGUUUGCAAGGGACUAUUCUAAGUGAUAGAGAUCAAAUUUUCACCAAUCAAUUUUGGUAGGAUCUCUUUACAUUUCAAGGAACUCAACUACUAAUGAGUACUUUUUAUCACCCACAAAAAGAUGGUGAAACGGUAAUAGUUAAUAAAUGUAUGGAACAAUAUUUAAGAUGCAUGACUAGAGGGGAAUGUUAGCAUCAUAAUGACCCUUAGUAUCUUUUUUUUUUUCAAUUUAAUUUCUUACCAUCUUUUUAGUUUCUUUAUUGAGUAUAUCCUCAAGGCAAGUAGCCUAUAUAAAAUAGGGAGAUUGUAAUGGGGAAAAUCAUGAAAAAAUUCUCAAUAAAAAAACCAAAAUUUGUUCUCUCGAAUUGCAUCUUCUCCUUGGGUCAUAAAACCCUCUAGUUCCCUUCAACAUUUGAAUAAAAAAAAAUUACCAUCAAGGAUUACAAUACAAUGAUUUAGGAUUGUUAUGUCGUUAGGAAUUUUUUGCUACAGUUUUGAACGACAGAUGAUGAUCAUCUAUGCUUUGUUGUACAGGAUAUUGACAAUAGGAGAUUUGGGCUUAUUUGGGAACAUUAUUGAAAAUAAUUCUUAAAAAACAUUUUUUGAGAACAAUUUUCAAAAUAUUUUUAUAAAAUAAAAGUUUGUUUAAGAACUUAGAAUAUUCUCAAUCUAUUUUUAUGUGUUUUUAAGUGUUUUUUAAUAAUAUUUUUAUCUACAGCACUUCAUUUUCAACUAUUUUUAGUAUUUAUAUUAUUAUUUUUUAAAACAUCCCCAAAAAAAUAAGUGAAAUAAAUUAAAAAUAAUUAAACUAUGUUGCCAAAAAACAUCAAAUGUGUUUCAAAGUCUACAAAACAAUUUUUUGAUUUUAAUAGCAAUUUCUAAAAAACAGCCCCAAAUAACUUGCUCUUAAAUUUUUUUUCUUCUUUCCCAAUAAGAAUGAUAUUGCGAGUAUGAGGAAGUGACUUGAGAAAUAACCUUGAGAGGAGCAUAACAUACGGAAGAAACAGUUCGCAGUAAAUAGAGGAUAGGUACACAAUCAAAAUUUGGUAUGCUGAUUCAGGACUGCUAUAUAAGUUAUAACACCAAUAGCGAAAAUGGUGAUAUCUGAUUGAUCCAGAGAACUUGUCAUACUUCAUCUACCACACUAACCUCGAGUCAGUGCUGCUCAAACUGGAUAGCCUUAGAGGACAUGAGAAUAGAAGAAUGGAUCAUAAUGCUGUGAAAGAACUUCUCCCUAACGUCCUUGGUUUCUGUUGGGAUUUUUCUUUGCAGGAACUCCAGUAAAAAGCCAGAAGUUUCACUUGUCGCCAAACAUGCCCACAAUCAACACAGCGAACCUCCCAUGGACCAGCAUCGGUGACUCGACCGCACAAACACUCGUAUUCAAGUAUCUGCUAAGAAACAACAAAUCCAUCACUGUCGCAGAUUGGCUCAUUUGCAACUCCACCUAUGACCUUGAGCCUGAUGCAUUUUCCUUAGCUCAGACUCUGCUACCAGUAGGCCCACUUUUGGCAAGCAAUCGGCAGGCAAACACCGCAGGACACUUCUGGCCAGAGGACUCGACUUGCCUUGAAUGGCUGGAUCAACAGCCUGCCUGCUCAGUCAUCUAUGUCGCAUUUGGAAGCUUCACAGUUUUUGACAAAGCCCAGUUCCGAGAAUUGGCUUUAGGACUUGAACUCUG